rnacentral:rRNA from 1 species
GAUGAACGCUAGCGGCAGGCUUAAUACAUGCAAGUCGAACGGUAACAGGUCCAGCAAUGGCUGCUGACGAGUGGCGCACGGGUGCGUAACACGUAUGCAACCUACCUUUAACUAAGGAAUAGCCCCGAGAAAUCGGGAUUAAUACUUUAUACAACUAUGAAACGGCGUCUUUUUAUAAUUAAAGUUCAGACGGUUAAAGAUGGGCAUCCGUGGCAUUAGCUAGUUGGUAAGGUAUCGGCUUACCAAGGCUGCGAUGUCUAGGGGUUCUGGGAGGAUUAUCCCCCACACUGGUACUGAGACACGGACCAGACUCCUACGGGAGGCAGCAGUAAGGAAUAUUGGGCAAUGGACGCAAGUCUGACCCAGCCAUGCCGCGUGCAGGAUGAAUGCCCUAUGGGUUGUAAACUGCUUUUAUACGGGAGAAAUGGUAUCUUUUUAAAAGGUAUUUGAUAGUACUGUAUGAAUAAGGAUCGGCUAACUACGUGCCAGCCGCCGCAGUAAGAC